AAUUCCACUGAAUUGACACAGUUGUAACUAAGUCAACUGCUUUACCCUUUAGUGGAACGAGCACCUUGAACCCUUUCCCUUGACACUCAUCAGGUCCAUAGAGCUGGAUGGAGGCUGGUGGGAAGCAGUCCUGUCAAGGAGCCAUCUGCAGUUUUAAAUCACCUCUAUGCCAGGCUCUCACCAGCUGCUGCUACAGCCUGUCUCAGACUCCUUCCAGUUCUCAGCUAGCAAGAGGCUAAAGCAGUGAUGUUGUCCUGAGGACUGAUUGCUAUGCCCAGAUGAUCUGCUGGAGUUGGCGGCUUGAUCCAAUAUGCAGCAUAAUUGAAGAGGAUGAGGAACAGAAUCCAUCCUUGUUUCACCCCAGUAACUACGCCAAAUUCAACAGAGAGCUCUCCAUAUGGUCUAACACAAGUUAGGUAAUGUGUAUAUUAUGCCAUAAUAAAUGAAGUCUCAUAGGUUUCAA